CAGCAGCCACGGUAAUACGUAGGGUGCGAGCGUUGUCCGGAAUUACUGGGCGUAAAGAGCUCGUAGGCGGUUUGUCGCGUCGUCUGUGAAAUUCUGCAGCUUAACUGCAGGCGUGCAGGCGAUACGGGCAGACUUGAGUACUACAGGGGAGACUGGAAUUCCUGGUGUAGCGGUGAAAUGCGCAGAUAUCAGGAGGAACACCGGUGGCGAAGGCGGGUCUCUGGGUAGUAACUGACGCUGAGGAGCGAAAGCGUGGGUAGCGAACAGGAUUAGAUACCCGAGUAGUCCCUGUCUCUUAUAC
rnacentral:rRNA from 1 species